rnacentral:rRNA from 1 species
CAGUCGCCGCGGUAAUACGAAGGGGGCUAGCGUUGCUCGGAAUGACUGGGCGUAAAGGGCGCGUAGGCGGAUGGCACAGUCAGAUGUGAAAUUCCCGGGCUUAACCUGGGGGCUGCAUUUGAUACGUGUUGUCUAGAGUGAGGAAGAGGGUCGUGGAAUUCCCAGUGUAGAGGUGAAAUUCGUAGAUAUUGGGAAGAACACCGGUGGCGAAGGCGGCGACCUGGUCCUUUACUGACGCUGAGGCGCGAAAGCGUGGGGAGCAAACAGGAUUAGAUACCCCAGUAGUCCCUGUCUCUUAUAC